GGAUAGCAUAGUCGAUGCUUCCCAAAAUGCAAUAAUUAUGUCACUAAGAAUAAUGUUUGCCCCUCUUAGCAAAACUGUCAUUGUUCCAACUCAAAUGGAAAUUAGAUUCUGUUAAAAGAGAUGCAAUAUGCUAAGGUUGAAAUUUUAAAAAAUGAAGGUUUCUAUCGCACAUACACUUCCCAUAUUAGCUUCAAUCAGCUAGCCACUCCUUGUUUUUUGGUAGAAGCUAGCCACUUGUUGAGACAAUAAAUCAGGAUGUAUACAGGGAAUCAAAGUUUCAAGGACCAUUUCAUCAUUUAAAUAUGCUCGAUGGUAGAUACUUCUAGCUUUAUAAAUAUGAAUGGUGAACUUUUUUGUUGUUGUGACUAGCCGACUUCUGGCUACAUGGCAACAUCAAGAAGGAUCACAUGAAAAGUUACAUCGAUCAAGUCAACUUCUGGGUCAAGUCGGUAAAAUAUUGGUCUAGUUUGGCCCUC
rnacentral:lncRNA from 1 species